rnacentral:rRNA from 1 species
AACGAACGCUGGCGGCAGGCUUAACACAUGCAAGUCGAGCGCCCCGCAAGGGGAGCGGCAGACGGGUGAGUAACGCGUGGGAAUCUACCCAUCUCUACGGAAUAACGCAUGGAAACGUGUGCUAAUACCGUAUACGUCCUUCGGGAGAAAGAUUUAUCGGAGAUGGAUGAGCCCGCGUUGGAUUAGCUAGUUGGUGGGGUAAAGGCCUACCAAGGCGACGAUCCAUAGCUGGUCUGAGAGGAUGAUCAGCCACACUGGGACUGAGACACGGCCCAGACCCCUACGGGAGGCAGCAGUGGGGAAUAUUGGAAAAUGGGCGAAAGCCUGUUCCACCCAUGCCGCGUGAGUGAUGAAGGCCCUAGGGUUGUAAAGCUCUUUCACCGGGGAAGAUAAGGACGGUAACCGGAGAGAAGCCCCGGCUAACUUCGUGCCAGCAGCCGCCGUAAUAC